CUCACAUCCUCGAUCCCCCAGACCCCAUGCCUCGUCUCUCCUCUCCUCCUCAUGACCACCGCCGCCGCCGCGCCCCUUCUCCUCCUCCUCCUCUGCCCAGCGCUGCCUCUCCUCCUCUCCUACUACCGGAUCCUCCCGCGUGCUGGCUUCUCCUCAAAGAGAAGGGUCACAUCCCGCAGGAGAAGAGGGGCGGCGCGGCAAAAUUGAGGAGUAGCGUCGCAGCUAGGUCUUGACGGUGGAGGUUGAGGAGCAGGGGAGGCCGAUGGUGGGGCGAAGGAGUAGCGUGGCCGGUGACCGGGGCAAGAAGCAGCGAGACAGCACUCCCAUCGCACUGGGAUGGAGCUGCAGGGGAGAAGGGGUGGUCAGCCCUUGUUCAUCAUGGCCGCCAUUGGCUUGCAGAGGCAACAGCACAGUCGUGGAGUACAUGUACAUCAAUGCCGACAGUGCCGGCAGCAACGACACGAGUCUCAAGAUGACGCUUUUGUGGCCAGUAAUGAAAACUGCUUAAAGAUGAGCCCACCCAGCCACCUGUCAUCCACAACCCUACUCCUCAAGCCAUUCUUGUCUCUACAGGCAGGUAAGCUCUUUCCUCCUCCCCCCUCUCUCUUUCGAAUUUAUGCUGGUAGAUGUGUUUGCUAUGGGUUCUGCUCCUGCCAGGCUUGGCUGCUGCUUGGCCUAACUCUACUUGUGCUGCUGCUAUGUGCUACUAUAUGUUGUUGGUUGCCUCCUUGGUUAUUUGUGAAUAUGAAAACACUUUGUGAGAAGCACGGAUUGUAGAGAAGGCUAUGAGCCAAUGAGAAGAGCUUCAUUUUUAGUUUUUUUUAAGAAUUGAUGAAGGACGUGUCAUAUGUUCAGUUGCUAACAUUCUCUCUAUGGUGUAUGCACUUGUUGUUCAUUGCAUUGGAGGGAGAGGAAAACUCUUUGUGAGAAGCAAGGAUUGAAGAGAAGGCUAUGAGCCAGUGAGAAAACCUGAACUUUAGUUUUUUAUUUAAGAAUUGAUGAAGGAUAUGUCGUACGUUCAGUUACUUACAUAUUCUCCAUGGUGUAUGUACCUGCUGUUCAUUGCAUUCGAGGGAGAGGACAACAAGAGUAAGAAAGUCUUGCGGCAUGAAGGCAGUAGCACGCAGCGCCAAGUCAAGCGCAUUGGCCUCGAUGGCAAGAGACCAGUACCAUCAGGUUCGCUUGACUGCUUGCUAGCCCGGCAUUGAACAAUACCCUUAAUAAAGCUACAUGGUGGACGCUAAUUGUCAUAUUUUGACCGACAAAUUUGUUUGAAUAGAUUAUACAAGAUUGAUGUGAUUAUCAGAUGAUUGCAGUCUACCCCAGGAGUACACGAGAAAGAAAUGCUACUGCUACAUUACUUCUGCUUGCCAAGGGAAAAGAGAGUUCCAUUGUAAAAUGAGAUGCCAGAUUUGCAUAGAUCAAUGAGGAUUCGUGCGGCAGGGAGGGGACUGGUGAUAAGAAACAUGGGUCCAAGAAGAAAUCAAAGAGCAUGUUGUAUACUUAUAUUGGCUGCGCUGAGCUUUUGGGAUAUAAUUUCGAAGGGUAUUCUUCCCAUAUGAUCAGUUCUGCGACGUGCACUCAUUUUUACUGCGAUGAAUGGUGUCUAAGUCUCCCUCUCUCUGUCACUCUCUGUGUGUGCCACUCUCUCUGAGAUUUGAAGGUAAGUUAUUAUUUCCUAUAAUCAAUCAUGAGGAUGUUACGAUUUCUAUUUAUUUCUGCGGUGGCCAAUAAAAUCUGACAAGAAGUUGUUAUCCACCUCCUUCCAUGAUGGUGAACCUCCAACUAUUGUUUCUUUUCCGGUAGGAUAUGCAUUUGAUCCAGUCCAUGUCUUGGCCUCUUUUUGAUGUGUGUAUUGCUAUGUUCUUCUUCCAGGUAUUGUUCAAUCCAUCAGUAGCUAGCGGAUGUCGUGCUGUGAUUAAGACUACGAGGCCGUAACGUUCAUCCCAACAUCAACUUUCGAUUGAAGUUACACAAAGAGGGAGGUUGUUCCACCAUAACAUGCAUUACUAGAGUCAAACUUCCUCAAUGUCAGUAUUCAUACUUUCCUGUAUUUGUGACAAGUGUCAACGGUAGUGACUGAGUGAGUGCGACUGAGACUGAACUAAUAAACAACUGUCAAGCUGUCUCGCUACCAACCGCAAGGUGGCCAAUUAGCUUCAAAUCAAUGUGGUACUUUUCCAGCAGGGAUUUGACAAUUGUCAAGCUGACACAACUUUCCGACUUGAGCAUUCAGAUAACG